AUUGAACGCUGGCGGCAUGCCUUACACAUGCAAGUCGAACGGGAACAGGUCUUCGGAUGCUGACGAGUGGCGAACGGGUGAGUAAUACAUCGGAACGUGCCCGAGAGUGGGGGAUAACGAGGCGAAAGCUUUGCUAAUACCGCAUACGAUCUCAGGAUGAAAGCAGGGGACCGCAAGGCCUUGCGCUCACGGAGCGGCCGAUGGCAGAUUAGGUAGUUGGUGGGAUAAAAGCUUACCAAGCCGACGAUCUGUAGCUGGUCUGAGAGGACGACCAGCCACACUGGGACUGAGACACGGCCCAGACUCCUACGGGAGGCAGCAGUGGGGAAUUUUGGACAAUGGGCGCAAGCCUGAUCCAGCCAUGCCGCGUGCAGGAUGAAGGCCUUCGGGUUGUAAACUGCUUUUGUACGGAACGAAAAGACUCUGGUUAAUACCUGGGGUCCAUGACGGUACCGUAAGAAUAAGCACCGGCUAACUACGUGCCAGCCGCCGCGGUAAAAC
rnacentral:rRNA from 1 species